rnacentral:rRNA from 2 species
GUGCGAGACCGAUAGCGAACAAGUACCGUGAGGAAAAGAUGAAAAGAACUUUGAAAAGAGAGUUAAAGAGUACCUGAAACUGCUGAAAGGGAAGCGAAUCGUAUCCAGUGUCUAUAAUCUGCGGCAUAUUUCAUUGGCGGCGGUGCGCGUGCUUUUGCGUCGGAAGCGGCUUUUGUUGCUCUGUGCUUUUGCUGUGCGUGGUGUUGCUGGUGCCCUGUGUUGCGGUGGGACGUCAGAGUCAGUUUGUAUGCUGCGGGAAAUGGUUGUUGGGGAGGUAGGUCACUUCGGUGGCUGUUAUAUCCUGAUGACUAGUCGUCGUGGUUGGGACUGAGGUGCCUACAAUGUGCUUUCGAGUCUGUGGGUCUCUCGUUUGGCUGUUUGCAUUGAUAGCUUGCUAUGUUUGUGACCGUGUUGGGCGAUUGAGAUCUGUAGUAACUUGUUGCUGUUCGGGACUUUG